GCCUCAGAGCCGCAGUCGGAUAGCGCCUUCGGCUGUUAACCGAAAGGUUGGUGGUUCGAGCCCAUCCGGGGGCG